rnacentral:rRNA from 1 species
GUGACUCUGUUCAACGGCCGCGGUAUCCUAACCGUGCGAAGGUAGCGUAAUCACUUGUUCUUUAAAUGAGGACUAGUAUGAACGGCACCACGAGGGUUAAGCUGUCUCCCUUUUCUAAUCAGUGAAACUAAUUUCCCCGUGAAGAAGCGGGGAUAAAUCUAUAAGACGAGAAGACCCUAUGGAGCUUCAAACACACAACAAAUGCCCCGCCUCUUGUUAAUCUCCGGAAAACCAUUAACCCGGGCACUUUGACUUCAAGUUUUAGGUUGGGGUGACCGCGGAGUAUAAAAUAUCCUCCACAGCGAACGGGACCUAAUCCCUAAGCUCAGGGCUACAACCCCAGGAAUCAAUAAAUUGACACCCAUUGACCCA